AACGAACGCUGGCGGCAGGCUUAACACAUGCAAGUCGAGCGCAUCCUUCGGGGUGAGCGGCAGACGGGUGAGUAACGCGUGGGAACGUACCCUUAUCUUCGGAAUAGCUCCGGGAAACUGGAAUUAAUACCGAAUGUGCCCUUUGGGGGAAAGAUUUAUCGGAUAAGGAUCGGCCCGCGUUGGAUUAGCUAGUUGGUGGGGUAAAGGCCUACCAAGGCGACGAUCCAUAGCUGGUCUGAGAGGAUGAUCAGCCACAUUGGGACUGAGACACGGCCCAAACUCCUACGGGAGGCAGCAGUGGGGAAUAUUGGACAAUGGGCGCAAGCCUGAUCCAGCCAUGCCGCGUGAGUGAUGAAGGCCCUAGGGUUGUAAAGCUCUUUCAGUAGGGAAGAUAAUGACGGUACCUACAGAAGAAGCCCCGGCUAACUUCGUGCCAGCCGCCGCCGUAAAAC
rnacentral:rRNA from 1 species